GGGGCUGCUCCUAGUACGAGAGGACCGGAGUGGACGCAUCACUGGUGUUCGGGUUGUCAUGCCAAUGGCACUGCCCGGUAGCUAAAUGCGGAAGAGAUAAGUGCUGAAAGCAUCUAAGCACGAAACUUGCCCCGAGAUGAGUUCUCCCUGACUCCUUGAGAGUCCUGAAGGAACGUUGAAGACGACGACGUUGAUAGGCCGGGUGUGUAAGCGCAGCGAUGCGUUGAGCUAACCGGUACUAAUGAACCGUGAGGCUUAACCUU
rnacentral:rRNA from 1 species